GGGAGGAGACAGACUGCAGCCGGAGCAGUUACACGUUUUCCCCCCAGGAGCCUCCGUUGUCACCGGCUUGGGGUAGGGGACAGAGCAUGACCAUGGCAGGGCCGGCGCUGUCUCCAGGGCUCAGCAACUGUCUGGUGCUGCUGCUGCUGCUGUUCUCAGCAGGUGAGACGGUGUUGGUGUCAGACAGAAAGGACCUGUACCGGGAUCCCGAAGGAAGCACUUGUUCCCAGAUCCUUCAGUACCCACGUUUCAUGGCCAAGAAACGGGGCUCCACGGUGGAAAUCAAGUGCUACGUGGAGUACCCGGAGAACUCGGACAUUGUGACCUGGUUCCGGAAGCAGGAGACGGACCCAGAGCCCAAGUUACUUCCUUAUGAAGAGGGCCGCAUCUCCCAUAGCCAUAAUGGCUCCACAUUCACCCUCGUCAUCCAGGGCAUCCAGUUUCAGGACAACGGCAUCUACUUCUGCAUGAAGAAAUGCCGGAAGGAGCCCUCGAGGACAGAGCAUGGAUGUGGCACGGAGCUUCGGGUCAUGGGGUUCAGCACCUUGGCACAAAUGAAUCGGCGGAACAUGCUGAAAGAUACCAUAAUCAUGAUCCAGACCCUGCUCAUCAUCCUCUUUAUCAUUGUGCCCAUCUUCCUGCUGCUGGACAAGGAUGACAGCAAGGCCGGGAUGGAGGAAGAUCACACCUAUGAGGGCCUGGACAUUGACCAGACAGCCACUUACGAGGACAUAGUGACUCUGCGGACAGGGGAGGUGAAGUGGUCGGUGGGUGAGCACCCAGGCCAGGAGUGAGGGGCCGCCCUUCCACGCCCUGGGCUCAGCCCGCUGGGCCCUCGCUGACUGCUUCAGAGCCGCCCGGCUCCCAGCCCACCCUCUUUUCCCUGGAUUCCCCCCGUCAGCCUCCAAACUGGCCCACCAGAUUCACCUGCCCCGCCAGCCCCUGGUCCCCAGCUCUUGCCAAAGAGACUGGGUUGGAAGGGCCACAGGGCCAUGAUUUGGAGCAGGGAGUUCUCUGGGGAUAGACUGGACCCAGCCCUCUGGGGGUGCUAUGCUGGGAUCCAUUCCUGUUCAGGACGGGGAAGGCAGAGACUUGUUUGGAACCUGCAAAUGGACUCAGAUGAGACCGGCUUCCUGUAGAGCCUGGGAAGGGCCAUGGCCCACCCACCAUGGCUGCAGGCGCUCCACCUGCAGGAAGCACUCCCAAAGCUCCCCAGUCCCUGCCCAGUCCCCGCUGGGACGCCAGCCUCUGCAGCUCUGGCAGAAUCGGAGCUGAGAGAAAGACUAAACAAAACUCGGAAAGCUGCCCCUGUUUUGGUGUCCUGGCAGGAAGCAUUGGACCCUCAGCUGGUGUCCAGCCUGGCCGGGUCUCCUGAGGAGGGCCUCAAAGCCCAUCCAGAACACGGGGCUUGGGAUUCCUGUCCGUGUGUACUCCGCUCCCUGGAGGCCACCUUAGCACCUGGAUUCAGAGCCUACACCCGUGAAAUUCCUGGAUUGGUCUCUGCUCUCCACGCUGCACCUGGUUACAGUGCCCUGGGGACCAGCCACUGACUCAGACUGUAAACUCUAGCAGAGAAAAGAUCGUGUCCUGUGUUCCUCUGGAUAUACUCAUCUGCCUGGGAUGAGGUCUGGAACGUGAAAGGCACAAUGACUACUUGUUGAAUCAGUCAAUUUGUAAAGAAGAGAAUGAGUGAAUGAAUGAAGAGAUAAAAGGCAUGAAUCCAGCCUCAAAGAGCUUCCAUUCUCGUAAGGGGAGUAAGACGUUCACAAACAACCACAGAAUAAGGUAAAAGGAGGCAGAGGUUAUUUCCAGCUGACAGCACCAAUCAGGAAAGCACCCCAGACUUCCCAUGGCUGCUGAACACACCCCGCAGCGCCACUGUCUUUCCUGGAUGAGGCUUCUCAAGAGCUCAGCACGGUGGGAAGACUGGAGAUUGGGCAGCCAUCACUUAAUGCUGGAGACUCCAGGCAAACUUCUUAUCCCUUUGAACCUGAGUGCCCUCGUAUGAAACGCACCUCACCCUCCCCGCAUCACUCAGUAGAGUGCCUGGCACAUGGAGAGCACUCAGAAAUAUCGACUCCUUCCCCACCUCCCCUGGAGAAGCCCUUGGGAAUCCCCAUAUAAUAUUCUUCGUUUUUCCUUUUGCUCUGCCUCCCUUUUCCCAGCUCCACGUCUCCACAUAAUAUUCUUUAAAGCUCUGACCCCAUGUGCUGUCAUCAACAGGGUGCUGAGACUCAUGCUGGAAGCAAAGAAGAGGAGGAACGUAUCCCGCGGGCAGUCCCAGCCUCUGGCCUCAAGGGAGGCAGGCCAGAGCUGGAGGUGGGAAGCGUGGACCUCCAGUGACCCACGGAGGACUGGAGAGAGCUGCCACCAGUCCCUCUGACACUGUCACUAAGACCAGGGCAAGUAUGACUCUCAAUAAUGAUAUGGCCCCAAACCCCGCGGACCUGAACCUCAGAGGGGCUCUGGAAGCCCCAAAGAGGCCACUUUCGGAUCAAGAGUAGAUCUGUGAGUUUGUACAGUAGGUACAGAGAACUCCAGAGAUGGUCAAAUUUAGGAAUAUGAAGGGCUUCUAAACACACUGAAUUUCAUGGAUUCCACGAUGAUGGGGGUUCAUCCCAAACCCUUUGAGGCUGACCCUAGAUAUGCUGAUCACAGCCUCUCCCCACUGGCCACCAUGCAGAGGCCUUUGCGGGGCAGUCUCUGAGCCUGGAGAAGCUAGGGGUCUGGCCCCAGGCUGUGCUGGGUGACUCCCUAGCACUGGAGGGAAAACCCCAGUCUAAUUCAAAGUUUAUCUUCUACUAGCAGUGAAUUAUGUGUGUGUCUCCAUCACUAAAGACCCUGAAAAAGUCAAGACUAGAGAGAAGGAACACCAGUAUCCACCCCCACACCCUUCAGCUCUUCCCUGUUUGGGUCCAGUGGCUGCCAUCAUGGUAACUUUUAUAAAAGUGUAAUCCCAGGGGUUCCCGGAAUCCUGUGGGCCAACCUAGUUCUGGGGUCAACAGACAUGGGUUUGAUGAGAGGAGAUGCUCCCCCGCCUGGCUGGUCCCACCUGUUCUUGGCUGCCUGAUAGGGAGCCUUGGCCACCCCUCACAGGUGCCCACCUUGUGUGGCUCUUGAGCAGUCCCCAACUUGGACUCCUGUACCCUCCAUCCUGAGGCUUCGCCCGUGGUCCACAGUUCCCAUGAGAGUACCCCCAGUGUUAGCUAGGAGCCUGUCAUGAAGGGUUGCACCUCAGUGCCCCUUUCCCCAGGUGACAUAGAAGGAAGAAGUGGGGGAGGAGGCAGAAGGCUGUGUGGGGCUCUGAGACCCUCCUCCACUUCCUGCCAGGCUCCUCCCCUUUGGUGGAGCUGAAGAGAGGAAAGGGGCGUCCUCACCUUCCCUGUGGCCCCACCUUCCUCAGAACCUGUAUCUUAAUGACACUCCACUCUGGUCCUCCUACAGUCCUGUCUGGGAACAGUUCCUACAGGUCCCAGUACCCUCCUUAGCAAAUACUAAAUCAGGGGCAUGUUUGGGUAAUGGUUCAGGAAUGACGGGAGAAAAGAGAGCUCUACCUUCUGGUCCUAAAAGGGGGAGGUCGAAAGAUGCAAGCACUCAUGUUCUGGACCAUGGGGGUGUGACUUUUCACAUCAUAACCAACCACCGCUAGAAGGGUUUGCUUCUUUGCUUUCUCACAGAAUCAAGUGCUAAAUGUUCUUAGACUCCAGGGGUGGAAGGUUUAAAUGGAGGGGAAUGUGUUCUUUCCUGCUCUUAUCCCUGGGGGCAAUUUGAUGCUGGUGCCCUCCAGAUGUUGAAAAAGCCCCAACCCUGGGCACCAGGAGGCUGGACGGCUGCAGCUCUAGCCUUCCAGACUCUAGCCUUGCCCUGCUGUGGUCUCCACCAUGCAGCCUGUGUCUCUGGGCCAGCCUCACCUAGAAAAUGAGGGACAACAAUCUGCCUCCUAAGGGAGGACAAAAUAAGGCAUCUGGGCCUUUCUGAUUAGCGGCAGGAUCCUUGUGUCCUGAGGGAUUUAGAUGUUAAAAAAAAAAAAGAGUGGUCCCUACUCAGUCUGAUUUGAAGAAAGGGCUUAGUUAGCAUCCUGCAACAUGGAAA